UGCCAGCAGCCGCGGUAAUACGUAUGGUGCGAGCGUUGUUCGGAUUUACUGGGCGUAAAGGGUGUGCAGGCUGUAAUUUAAGUCAGAUGUGAAAUUUGACAGCUCAACUGUCAAAGUGCAUUUGAUACUGAUUUACUAGAGAGUAGGAGAGGUAAGCGGAAUUCUUGGUGUAGCGGUGAAAUGCGUAGAUAUCAAGAAGAACAUCUGUGGCGAAGGCGGCUUACUGGCCUAUUACUGACGCUGAAACACGAAAGCGUGGGGAGCGAACGGGAUUAGAUA
rnacentral:rRNA from 1 species